rfam:Oryza brachyantha chromosome 1, whole genome shotgun sequence.
AAUAAGUUCAUUUUUCAGUUUUUAGAUACAAUGUUUUGACUCUUCGUCUUAUUUUAACUUUUUUUGUGAUUAGUAUUUUUAUUGUUACUAGAUGAUAAAACAUAAAUAGAACUUUAUGCGUAACUAAUCUUUUUCAAUUUUUAUACAAAAUUUUCAAAUAAGACGAAUGGUCAAACAAAUGGAUACAGAAAUCGAAAAAUGAAGUUAUU